GGAAAACUAAAGGACCUGCCACUUCAGAAGAAGCUCUGGGGUCUACGUACAAGCCGUCUUGCAUCUUCCCCAAGCCCCUUAACCUGAGCAGUCCAGGUUAAAGGGUAUCAGCACUGCCACACAUUCUUCUUUUUCCCAAAUUAAUCAAGAAGUAGGAAUUUCUGACAAAUGCCAUCUGCUGAUUUUUUCAGAGAGACAAGUUUUGGUGGUGUGACCAGCAGGUGCCUCAGCUUUUUCUAGCAUGCAGUACCAAAACAGUCGCCAUGGCAACCCUCGGAGGGCAGCCUUCCAAAGAGAUGCAUUGUGAGCACGGAAACUCUAGAGCACUUUCAAGCAAGAGGGAAGGAAGCUAGUGUUGGGUUUCCAAUGGGGGUGAGCAGGCGCUUCUCCCCAGGCACCCAGGCCAGACCCCAGCCCAGCCACACCCUCCCCUGCCCCAAGGCUGGUGCUCCCUGAAAGAGAGGAGAAUUUGGGGGUUCCUGGUCUAUACCAGGCAGAACAGGCAGCUCCUACAUGUCUUUCAGAGCUCAACCUCCUUCCUCGGUUCACAAUGAGAGUCCAACUUCUGCCAGUCCUGACUGCCAUCCAAACCGUUUUUCUUUUCAAGAAUUUGAGGAAGAAAACCAUCGUGUGCUCACAAGGGACCAGCUCUCUACAGAUCGCAGCGUCUGCAUCGAUGCCGUCUCUACUCUUCUUUCUCCUCGUUCUGCUCCUCUCCCUGCUCCCAUCCCAACAGGAAGGGACCUCUCCCACCUCAGAAACCCAUCAGCGCUUCUGCGACCUACUUCCUCAGACUCUGAGCACUGACUGAUCUGAGAUACAGUCACACCAGGACCCAGAAAGGACUCCAGAAAGGCCUGGCACAGAUGCUAACGUGUCCCAGAGAAGCUCCCUGUUGUUAAAUCCUGUUUUAUUCCUCCAACAGUCCAGCUGGAAUGGUGGCUUCAGAGUAAAACGUUUUUAUUUCAUUUCUUAGA